rnacentral:rRNA from 1 species
CCUACGGGCGGCAGCAGUGGGGAAUAUUGGACAAUGGGCGAAAGCCUGAUCCAGCCAUGCCGCGUGUGUGAAGAAGGCCUUCGGGUUGUAAAGCACUUUCAGUGGGGAAGAAAGCCUUGGGGCUAAUACCCUCGAGGAAGGACAUCACCCACAGAAGAAGCACCGGCUAACUCCGUGCCAGCAGCCGCGGUAAUACGGAGGGUGCGAGCGUUAAUCGGAAUUACUGGGCGUAAAGCGCGCGUAGGCGGUCUGAUAAGCCGGUUGUGAAAGCCCCGGGCUCAACCUGGGAACGGCAUCCGGAACUGUCAGGCUAGAGUGCAGGAGAGGAAGGUAGAAUUCCCGGUGUAGCGGUGAAAUGCGUAGAGAUCGGGAGGAAUACCAGUGGCGAAGGCGGCCUUCUGGACUGUCACUGACGCUGAGGUGCGAAAGCGUGGGUAGCAAACAGGAUUAGAUACCCCGGUAGUC